CUGAAAAUUUCUAGUCAUCCUGACGAACCAAUUAUUUGGUUCAGGGGAGAUUGGACAUUGGACCCACAAUGGGAAGUUGCCAAACAGCUGGGACUUUUGCCACACCUAUCAAGAAAGUGAUGAUCUUUGCAGAAUUCAGUUGCAUAUCUUGGAUCUGAGUUCUGCGCAGCAUUGGACACGCACUCUGCACUUUUGAAAGUUGAAGUUGAUUAAAAGUCAUCUGAUGUUUACACCGCGGUAUUUCAGGGUCUUCCAGUCAUCUUGGAGGAUGACCCAGAGGAAUUUUACAGGAUGUGCUUUGAUGUUGAUGUAGAUGCAGACUUCAGUGACGUAGGAUGUAGGCCUGCUCACAGUUUUACCAG